rnacentral:rRNA from 1 species
AGGAUAAACGCUGGCGGCGUGCCUAACACAUGCAAGUCGAACGUCUCUUUCUUCGGGAAGAGGAGUGGCGGACGGGUGAGGAACACGUGGGAACCUGCCCUUUAGUGAGGAAUACCGGCGAGAAAUCGCCGACAAGACCGCAUAGCCCUCUUUGAUGAGAGUCAAAGAAGGAAAGCUUCGCAAGAGGCGCUAGAGGAGGGGCCUGCGUCCGAUUAGCUAGUUGGUGGGGUAAGAGCCUACCAAGGCGUCGAUCGGUAGCUGGUCUGAGAGGACGAUCAGCCACACUGGGAUUGAGAACGGCCCAGACUCCUACGGGGGCAGCAGUGAGGAAUUAUCGGCAAUGGGGGAAACCCUGACCGAGCAACGCCGCGUGCAGGAAGACGGCCUUCGGGUUGUAAACUGCUUUUCUUUGGGAAGAGAACGGACGGUACCAGAGGAAUCAGCCCCGGCUCACUACGUGCCAGCAGCCGC